rnacentral:rRNA from 1 species
AGCAGCCGCGGUAAUUCCAGCUCCAAUAGCGUAUAUUAAAGUUGUUGCAGUUAAAAAGCUCGUAGUUGACUUUCGGGGUCAGCAGGUUGGUCGUGCCUAUGGUAUGUACUGGCCUUGCUGAUUCCUCCCUCUUGAUGAGCCGUAAUGUCAUUAAUUUGGUGUUGCAGGGAAUCAGGACUGUUACUUUGAAAAAAUUAGAGUGUUUAAAGCAGGCAAGCGCUUGAAUACAUUAGCAUGGAAUAAUGAAAUAGGACGUUUGAUCCUAUUUUGUUGGUUUCUAGGAUUGACGUAAUGAUUAAUAGGGAUAGUUGGGGGCAUUAGUAUUCAAUUGUCAGAGGUGAAAUUCUUGGAUUUAUUGAAGACUAACUACUGCGAAAGCAUUUGCCAAGGAUGUUUUCAUUAAUCAAGAACGAAAGUUAGGGGAUCGAAGACGAUCAGAUACCGUCGUAGUCUUAACCAUAAACUAUGCCGACUAGGGAUCGGAUGAUGUUAAUUUUUUAAUGACUCA